rnacentral:misc_RNA from 1 species
GUGAAUCAUCGAAUUUUUGAACGCAAAUUGCACUCUCUUCGGAGAGUAUGCCUGUUUGAGGGUCAGUAUUAAUAAAAAUCGGUGUGUUGCUUCUUUGUGACGUUCCGGAGUUUGGGUCAUCUUAAAAUAAUAUACGUUUUGGGUGUCUUAAAAUUGACUUUUUUUGACCAUUUUAGUUCUUCUUAGACUCUUUUUUUUAUUUUUUUGUCUUUAUGCUU